AAGACUUUAAGUUAAAAAAACUGUAUGCCUUCAAAGCAUAAAUUAAUAAAAUUAAGUCUUA
rnacentral:tRNA from 1 species